GGCGCACACACACUUUUCAGGAGAGAAAGACGUGUGCAGAGAGACAGGAGUCCGACGGAGAGAGAGAGAGAGAGCGAGCGAGAGAGAGAAAGGAGAUCCCAGUGGAGCAGAUGUCAAAGAAGGAUACCAGUAUCACAUAUCGGUUAGAUGACCAAGGCAGGGCACACAUGACAUGACAGCUAAAGCUCGGAUCGCGAGGAUAUUGCAGGGCGGAUUCAAUGGACAACACCUGUGCACUGAUUUUCUUUACCAUCUACAACUUGACCACCCAGUCGGGAUUCAUGCAAAUUGAGCAAGGUCCCACUGUUCACCGAGUCCAAGGAUGAGAUGAGGAGAAGGCCAUCACUUGUAGUCGGAACCACUCAAAACGGUGCAUACUUCUGCCAUGACAAUAAAAGGAAAAGGAAAUCAAUUUUGGCUGUGAUUGGCAGGGCUCAUUAGAGAACAACCAAGUUUGAGGACCUGUAUGGGUUUCCAUUUGCAAGCGUGUUGGAAUACAGUGACAUUAAUGGAGGUGGAGGGAAACGAACACAUCAGGACAGCGGGGGCAAAGAAGCAGCUGUGAAGAGCCUGGAAGGUCCCCCCUUCACUUCGCCUCUCACCUGUGUCACCGCUGCCCGCCGGCACCAUCAAAGGUGCAUCAGACGUCUACUUUGGCACCUUCUUACCUGUGGCGUAGUGCUAUUCCUUGCCGGCUAACGCACCUCCACCAUCACCCUCCCCUCAUCCCUCCAGCUCCUCAAGGCAUCUGUCACUCACUUGUCAUUUUUUUCAUCAGCUCCUGUUUUCCCCUUUGAUUUCUCAGCGAAGGUGGGAAAGAAACCAUCCGAGCGAAAAUGGUGACCAUGAUGUCCUUGUUCCAGGUUUGGCAGCUGCAACAGAUGACGCAUCAUAGCCAUCUCGUACUAAAACAGAUUAUUCAAAACGUUAGAAAAAAUGUUAGUUUUCACCUUUAACAGAAGCAUGUUUUGUAUGUAUUGUCUAUAUGGCAUGCCAUAAUGUUAAAGGUAAAAGUUAUUUGCAUUUGUAUUCUGUAGAUGUCUUGUCAGCUGUCAGUGGACUUCUAAUGUUUUAGCCCAUUUUAGUCCCAGAGUUGCUCUACCAGUUUGCGCUUACUGUUUCACAACAUUUAUUUAAUCUGAAAUGUCAUCUGUAACCAACUACUGAGCAGCGUCAUCUUUACUGUUGACACCCAUAGGCUUUCUGUCAGGGACCAUCGAAUGAAGAGGUUACUUUGGUGUAAAUAUUUUUAGAAUAAUAACUGUGCCACUUUGCUAUUUUUUUUACAUAAAGGGUUCAUUUUGAUCUGGCCUUUGUUACACUAGUCAUUUAAAUCAUUUUAAAACAUGAUAAAGACAACUACUUUCAAUACCAGCUUAAUAAAUACAAUAAUAAAUGUCUUGAUCAGAUCUUGCAGUGACGUUUUACCAAAGUUACACAAAACACUGAAACCUAAACAAAAUAGGAAGUCAAGCUUAACCUCAAGUACAAAAAUAUAAAACCGCAGUAUUGAGUGUUCGACUUUGCUUUGUAUUGUUUGAUGAAAUAAAAACCAAAGAUCAUCACCUGGACAUGUUAUAUUUAUAGAGAUUUUGAGUAUGUUGUUCAUUCACUUUUGGGAGGUUUUUGUCUAAUUUGCAAAUGGGGUUUAUUGAAAUUGUUUGAUUUUAGUGAUCUUUUAUUGUUUUAAUUGUCCCUCAGCUGGCUUUUUUCUCCUUGUGUUUUUAUUUAUAUAAAAUUACACUUUAUAGCUUGUUUUAAAGGCACUGAGCAUAUCACAUUCAGUUUCCCAUACCUGCUGUCCAAAUAUUCUAAAUACAUUCACCCUAACAUGUCCUUCUCACUCCCAUCCAAGGUGUAAGCAAACACCUAAUUGUCUGACAUUUGUGGGUAGCCUCAGGGUCUGUGACUUGCCUUUCUUCAAGUUGUGUGGAAAAGGAUCAAAGCUGUGCUAACUUAGGGGUUAAAAACAUCAUCAGCAACAAAUUUGCUUUCACUAAGCCAAAACUACACAAGUCAAUUUUAAACUACCUACAGCAUUGCUCAAAUUCCUCUCCUAGAUCUGUGUAAGAAAAGACCCCACAGGUACAUUCAUGACUGAGAGGAUGUGCUGAAAACUAAUAUUUCUUCAGGCAAAGGGGAGGAGGGGAUUUAACUAAAUGUUUUUCUUCUUUUCUGCAGAAAAAAAAAAUAUUCUUUUUGUAUACCACUGCCUAUGUCUAAUGAGUGGAGCAAUUUCAGCAAAGAGUAAGAUAUCUGAGUACUAUUAUUCUUUAAAUAACAGCCAACACAGCUCUUUCGACUUGCUGGGCCGAGGCAGUAAAUCCACCCUGCUGACAGCACAGCGAUUAUAUUUAACAUUUCCACUCAAGAUGCACGCACAUGCAAGGAAGAAAGAAAAUAAAAUAGAUAGAAUAAAGGAGCCGUUGGCUGUGACCCAAACUCUGGCCAUAUCAGUUAGGCAUUGCUGCCACGUGGCAUAUGGUACAAGACAAACUGUCAGCUUUUUUCUCUCCUGUCUGUGCCUGCUAAGAGAUGACAGGAGCAAGAGCACGUUUGUGUCCCGGCAGCAGGCAUCAUGCAGGCUUAGCAGUGAUUUGGGGGGAAAAGGGGAGAAAGGCAGCGCAUCUUGCUGUGGCGACUAUGCAAUGUGUCUGCAUGGAUGGGUGUUGGGGAAGGGAGGGAAGAGGGGUUCAGAGUAGCUGCGGGGGACAGCACGGUGCCUGCGAUUGUGAGGAAACUGCAAAUUGAUCAAAUUGUGGAGGCAAGACUUUGGGCCUAUUAUCUGGGUCAUGUCAAUGUCUCUCUGGUCUCCAGUUGGUCACAGAGGCCAGUAAAAUGUGCAUGUUUUUUUUAAAGAUGCUAAGCUUAAAGAGUUGUUACAGAAUGUUAUCUGCUUGGCUGUCUAGUCAAAUCUGCAUGGACAUGUUGUGUACACUCCACCACUGCCACAAAUAUAUCCAACAAACACCAAACACAGUCUCCAUUAGCACCUAAGUGACACUUUUCAGAAAUUUGUUUUCCAGUUGAAUUUAAGGUCAAAUCCUGUAGCUCAUCAUUGCUUACCCAUCACUAAACACUAUUGUAACUUAUAAAUUUUUUUUGCCCAGUUCUCAUUGUAGUCUUGGAAACCAGUUUGACGAUGCAUUACCGUUUUCGGAUAUGCAAUCCGACAUCCACGAGUCACGCUGUUCCGCUAUCAGCAGUGAUCAUGGAGCCAAGCCUCUAUCAAAGCUGACUUCAACAGAGCAUAUUGUGGCUAUUAGCCUAGCAUUGUGUAUGAUCUCCAUCUUGUCUUGUUGCUGAGGGUGCUGUCCUAUGCAGUUUAGGAACACAAGCAUGAGAGAGGGCGCCGUCAUCUCUUGUCACCAUGCUUUUGUCAUUCCCUAGAGUUUCAGUAGGUCCCUGCGGUCCCUGUCACUCUUUCUGGCUGCAAACAGCUGGUUACCAAUUGGCAUUCUUCAAACUAUGGAAACGAGUCCAAGGUUUGUGAUGGUUAGAAAUCAAAUUCUGGAAUUCGUUUAUUUUUAUUUUUAUCAUCAAGGUACAUAUAUAAAGGGGGGCAGUAUCUGUGUUCCUUAGUGUGACACUUUAAUACAGUCUAAUUUCAAACAGGUUUGCCCUGAGCAGCUCCUGAGUACAGGAACAGAACAACCCAAUUCCUUGUAAAUCAGCAGUGCUGAUAUUAGCUGUUGAAGGCUAAAUGGCCAUUAUGAAUCCUCAACACUCUGACAUGUUGUGACCUGCCUCCUCUGGUGAGGUAUGCGGCACUGUGUGUGGGAAACACGUACACACAUAUAGAUUUGUCGAUGCUCGCUGCUCUGUGUGUGGGCUGUGUUUGCCACCACUUAGUGACAGGUCAGACUCCCAGAGUGUGAUCAAACAGCAGCCACAAGUCUCCAGAGUUCCCACAACACUCCGCCUGGUGGAGAGUGGACAAUAAAAACAAGAGUGGUGGGCUUUCAUCACAAGCUUUAUCAGAGCCUGGCCAAGUCUGACUCAUUUGCUGGCCCAACUUUGUAAAGGUUGGCUGAAAAAUGUAAACUAAAUCUAGCCAUGCCUUGUGAAUGUCUCUGAAUAGCAUACACACUGGAGCAAUACAUGUUUUAUGCUGCCUUGGGCCUUUACUGCACUGGUAUGAACAUUUGUUAAACUGAUUUUGGUUUUCAAAAAGUCAGCGAUGAUUCCAGUCAAAUACCAAUGCUCAACCUGUAGGAGUAUAAUCAAUAACCUCAUCAAAGCCCAGAAGAAGAUUCAGAGCACAGAAACAACAAUGGCAGGCUAACGAGAUUCUGAAAAAUAACCGUAGCUCAUAUGUUUCAUUUGAUUUCAUUGUUUCAUUUGAUUUCAUUGUAAGUGAGUUCUUAUUCAUACAAUAUUUUAAGCUACAUUGGAAGCUGAAUACCAUCAUUUAAGUUGUGGGGAAAGAACCGAUUAAUAUCUUUCUUGGAUGUUAUGUUUCUACAACAAAAAACAAUAGUAGUCAUGAAUGAAGUGCGCCUUGGCUUUUGUUAAAACCCUAAAGUAUUUUUUAAAAUUCUAUUUUUUACUCCCAAAAGCUAAAAAUUAUAAGUUUGUAUAAGAAUAAUCUCAAUUUUACUAUGUGUCUAUGUUGGUGUAAACACAGUCUCAAUGAAUAAGUAAAUAAAAUAUACAUAUCUUGUAUUGA